AGAGUUUGAUCCUGGCUCAGGACGAACGCUGGCGGCGUGCCUAACACAUGCAAGUCGAACGAAGCUCCUGAUCUGAUCCUUCGGGUGAAGAGAGGGAAGACUUAGUGGCGGACGGGUGAGUAACGCGUGAGCAACCUGCCUUUCAGAGGGGGAUAACAGUUGGAAACGACUGCUAAUACCGCAUAACAUAAUUUUGUCGCAUGGCAAGAUUAUCAAAGCUGAGGCGCUGAGAGAUGGGCUCGCGUCCGAUUAGAUAGUUGGUGGGGUAACGGCCUACCAAGUCGACGAUCGGUAGCCGGACUGAGAGGUUGAACGGCCACAUUGGGACUGAGACACGGCCCAGACUCCUACGGGAGGCAGCAGUGGGGGAUAUUGCACAAUGGGCGAAAGCCUGAUGCAGCAACGCCGCGUGAGGGAAGACGGUUUUCGGAUUGUAAACCUCUGUCUUUGGUGAAGAAGGAAGUGACGGUAGCCAAGGAGGAAGCCACGGCUAACUACGUGCCAGCAGCCGCGGUAAUACGUAGGUGGCAAGCGUUGUCCGGAAUUACUGGGUGUAAAGGGAGCGCAGGCGGGACGGCAAGUUGGAUGUGAAAUACCGCAGCUCAACUGCGGAGCUGCAUCCAAAACUGUCGUUCUUGAGUGGAGUAGAGGUAGGCGGAAUUCCGAGUGUAGCGGUGAAAUGCGUAGAUAUUCGGAGGAACACCAGUGGCGAAGGCGGCCUACUGGGCUCUUACUGACGCUGAGGCUCGAAAGUGUGGGGAGCAAACAGGAUUAGAUACCCUGGUAGUCCACACUGUAAACGAUGAUUGCUAGGUGUGGGGGGUCUGACCCCUUCCGUGCCGGAGUUAACGCAAUAAGCAAUCCACC
rnacentral:rRNA from 1 species